UCCUACGGGAGGCAGCAGUGAGGAAUAUUGGUCAAUGGGCGAGAGCCUGAACCAGCCAAGUCGCGUGAAGGAAGAAGGAUCUAUGGUUCGUAAACUUCUUUUGCAGGGGAAUAAAGUGCAGGACGUGUCCUGUUUUGUAUGUACCCUGAGAAUAAGGAUCGGCUAACUCCGUGCCAGCAGCCGCGGUAAUACGGAGGAUCCGAGCGUUAUCCGGGUUUAUUGGGUUUAAAGGGUGCGUAGGUGGUUUGAUAAGUCAGCGGUGAAAGUUUGCAGCUUAACUGUAAAAAUGCCGUUGAAACUGUCGGACUUGAGUGUAAAUGAGGUAGGCGGAAUGCGUGGUGUAGCGGUGAAAUGCAUAGAUAUCACGCAGAACUCCGAUUGCGAAGGCAGCUUACUAAGCUACAACUGACACUGAAGCACGAAAGCGUGGGGAUCAAACAGGAUUAGAUACCCUGGUAGUCCACGCAGUAAACGAUGAUUACUAGCAGUUUGCGAUACACAGUAAGCGGCACAGCGAAAGCGUUAAGUAAUCCACCUGGGGAGUACGCCGGCAACGGUGAAACUCAAAGGAAUUGACGGA
rnacentral:rRNA from 1 species